GGUGCAUGUGGCACAUGCGUAUGCCUGAACACAGGACAGAAGAUCUGAAUCAGUCUAAUUAUACAAAAAAAAAAACCAUUUCUAUUCCAAGUUUUAAAUACCUCCACAAUAAAGCAUCAUUCUGCUAAUCGAUGGCAGAAUAGUACUACUCCUAAGUCCUGACUACACAUAGAAGAAGCAAAGAGACCAGUGAUCCUGUACAGUGAUGAGUCAAUGACUGCACGAGCUAAUAAUAGUCACCGACAGUUAGUCGCAAGUCGCAACCAUAAGUACAGAAAGUGGCAAGAGGGAAUUAUUGUACACUAGCUAGGUACAGUACAGUACAGUACAGUACAGCUACUACAAGCGGUGGUGUCCGUCGUCGAAGUUCUGGUAGUAGCUAUGCAGGUCAUACCCGAACCUCACCGCGGUUCGCCUCGGCCGCACCGCGCGUCUCCUCCAAGAGCGGCUCAACCUCGACAGCAACUGCUUCACCGCCGCAGCCGACCGGCGCCGGCCGCCGCUCCUGGCGUGGAUCCUCCUGCCCCGGCCGCUGCCGCCGCUGGUGUGCAGGCCCAGCAGAGACGCCGCCAUAUGAUCGCUCACUAGGUUCUCACAAGUCACAGACACUCUCCCCCGGUGUAGAGCAGGGUAUGCUGAUCGAGCUUUGCUCUGAAUCCGAGCUGGAAGUAGGAGUAUCUGCUGUGUGCUGCAGCUAGCUGUAGCUUGUUCUGAAGAUGUUGUGCAAAACGAAACCUCCCACGCCGCAGCUUUAUAGGCUCGGAUGGUGUGAGUAUUGCGACACGCGUCGAUCGACGACGGCACCUAGACCCCACCAGCACGCACUCACGUGCAUGGUGACGAGGCAUCCACUACGGCGAUCAUCGGAAAGGUCCAAGCAAAUUCCAGAUUCUUCUUUUUUUUUGUGAGAGCAAAUUCCAGCUUCAUGCGUGCAUCUUUUGGAAGCCACAGUGGUGCACAGUAAUAAAGACCACCAACAACACAAGGGCAUGCAUGCGCAUUUGCUGGUGGUAGGGUUGCUAAGCUUUAGUGACGGAUGGGACCUCGAUCGCCAGCUAGGAUGAGAGGUUGGCCAUGGCGACAGGAGAGACGACGGCGCCUGGUCACCUGCAAGCUGCUGCCUGUCCGUCUCUUGCCGAUAAAGUAGGCUCUCUCCAGUGGAGCCCACCCAGCCCCCUUUGGAUCCGCCCCUGGUGGCUCUCCCGGCGGCUUCCUGUCCGUCUUGCCGCUGGAUCAGAUCGGAGUCAUCCGUUGGUUGCUGUAGAGAUGCUGGUCAGUCGGCAAUUAUUCGGCAUGCAUGUGCAGAGGGGGAACAACAGAUGAUCGCUUCCGGCGCCAUGGAUGUGUAGAUGCACUGUUGAUGGCACGGCGGCAACGGCGGCGGUGGCGGCGAGGCGUGUAAUGUCACGUGCAAAUAAUGUGUUUGAGUUGCCCAACUCACCUGCAUACAUGUCGAUAAGGGGUGUUACUGUUAAAUCGACACGCCAAGAUGUUAGUUUUGCAAAACUGCGCAUAUCAUCAGAGACUAGGAAUCUAGGAUGUGAUGUCAUUAAAAGAUUGGUUGUGUCACCAUGGAUAAUAACUGGUUAUUACAUCUUUUUUGGAUGAUCUUAUCCUUGUACUAACGAUGACUAGCUUAUUAAAACGUGGAUUUUUUUUACAUACAUGGUCUUUCACUCUUAUGAUAUAUCUUAAAAAAAGGAAAAAGGAAAAAGAAAAAGAAAAAGAAAAAGAAAAAAAUACUAUCGAGCUGAGUCAUCCAUGCACAGGAUCAACAUGGGAGCGGAUUAGAAUAUGUGUGACUACAACGAAUUUCUACGUCCUAAAGAAAGAAAAAGGGAACGCACUAGUGUUACCUUAAGGUCUUGUUUAGUUCCCAAAAAUUUUGCAAAAUAUAAAUAGUACCACUUUCGUUUGUAUUUGCCAAAUAUUAUCCAAUCAUGUAUUAACUAGACUCAAAAGAUUCGUCUCGUCAAUUUCGACCAAACUGUGCAAUCAGUUUUUAUUUUCGUCUAUAUUUAAUACUUCAUGCAUGCGUCUAAAGAUUUGAUGUGACGGGGAAUCUGAAAAGUUUUGCAAAAUAUUUUAGGAACUAAACAAGGCCUAAAGCAAAAAUCUCUAGAGGAGGAAGAGCAUCUAGUUGUAUCACUGUAUGUGCGCGCCUUCAGCCUAAACAGUGAGUCACCAGUCUCGCUUUUGAGGUUUUGCUCUGAGUUGAUGCCAGUUUAUCAGUAGCUUCAUUGACUGUCAAGAUUAGUCUUUUCCGAUUUGAUGGUGCUAUCGUUGCCCGCUAAAGAGAUCUAUCAAUAGUAAGGGAUAAUUACAUGAAGUUUCACAUGGUACUGUCCAAUUUUCAGUCUAUUGUUGCAACAUAAACCAUGUCAGUAGUUGGAUGUACCAAGGUUGGAAGGCCAAUGGUUGUCAUUCCAGGAAUGGGUGCGAAAUACUAAUGUUUUUCUAGACUGUGCUUUCAGCGAUGUUCCUAAUUCUGAAAAAUCUGGAGUUGUGUGUCCAUGUGUUAGAUUGUGGUAAUAGAGUUAAUUAGACGAAGGAGACCUGUCUUGUGUAUGUAUCUAUACACUUCUAUACAUUGAACUGAAUCAUAACUAUUAUCUUACAAUUGUUUAAUUGCAUAGCAAGCUGGUACUCUUGGAUCAUGUGUUGGAAUGGAAACUCCGAAGGAAACAUUGAGUAGGAUUGCUUAUGGAGGCUAUUGUGGUCAUGUGUAUGCCGCAAGUAGUGGGCGUACAUACUCUCUACAGGAUGAUGAAUUUCCAUUCCCUUGACAUGUUGUAUUGUGGAUGACCAUUACUAUGAUGUUAUGUGGUUGUAGUUGAGUUUGGUCAUUUUGAUGGCACAAGUGAUGUUUGUGUUAUGCCUCUAAUGAGAUAUUGUAACUUAUGACAAUAUGGAUUAAUGAGUGUUGAAUUUUAAUGGAAACAACACAUGUCUAUCAUGCCCCAUUUAAAUUUAUAUUUGAAUGAAUUUGAAAUUAGAAUAUGUAUUGUUUGCUGGAUAGUAUAAUAUGCAUAUGAGAUUUGCUCCAUGUGAAACUUGCCCCUAGGAAAAUGCCCUUUACAGGUAGGAUGAAACAUGAUAUGUCAGUAGCUUUCCCUAGGGGUUAUAUUACCAAGACAAUUUUCCUAGGGCACCCUCGCGCCACCCUAGGGCACUUCAGAGUUUCCUGUCAAUAUUUUCCCUAGGGAGCAUUCCUGACCAGUCACCCUAGCAGAACAUGUUUCCCUAGGGUAUCUGAGCCUUUACGUAGGGUUUGUGACCCUAGAAAAACCGGAGGAUUCCAGCAGUGGUAAUAUAACAACUCUAAGAGAUUCUUUAUAUCCUCCAUAUUCAUGAUAGAAAUAAAAAUUUUGAUGAAAAAAAUCAUCCAAUGACUUCUUCUAUUUAAUCUCCAAAUAUUGUCAUACUCACUGACCGAAGGUGGGAAGUGGGACUGGUUCUCUCCUGAUGAGUAUAAGGUAUAUAUAGAAGCUGUUGGAGGGUGUGGAAUAAUAUAGCGAGGGAUUUCAUUUAAAUGAUGAUUUAAAGAGUGAGUUGAAGAAAACUUUUGGACACACUACCAGACUAAACAACUUUUAUUGUCUAGGAUCUAUAUCCUUAAAUAUAUUGACUUCUAAUUUGUCUUAUGUCAAAUUAUCUUAGACCAAAUCUAUAUGCAAAGCAUGGAUAUUAUUUCUGAAAAUGGUAAAAUCUAAAAAUAUAUUUCACAUUUUAAUUAAUGUUAAUUCUCAUUUAAUAUAUAGAUUUUUAUAAUUAGAUUAAAUGUAUAAUAGUUUGACUUAGAACAACCUAAAAUGUAUUAAGUAAUAUAUAAGAAUUGGUUUAGACUACUAGUCCAUAAAACGGUGGCACGGUGCUACCUUCUAUACUUAGGCUAGGGUCGUAAUAGAAAACAUAAGUAAUAGAAAAUUAUCUUUGUGUUCUCUCUAACUUUUUGUCAUUUUCAACGCAUUACCCAUAUAUGUAAUAUCUGUUUGGUUGUUGUGAACUUAUCGAUUACUCUAUUAUUUUUCUAUGUAUAUAUAGUUUUUCUCUAUGUACAUGUCACUCUACAUGUUUACAUAGCUUAGACCUUAGUUUUGGUUGGCAUUAUGAAUUAUAGAUUUCUACUUUUAAAAUUUGUAUCAUAUUAGUUGCUACGAAUCUCAUAUCCACAUGUCAAUUUGAAACAAUUAUCUUUAUUACACAUUUAAUUCAAAACUCUCCUUUAUCGAAGCAAUAAUGACACAAACAAUCUUAUACUCUUAUAAAGCUAAACCCCACUAGAGAUUUCUCUCAACAUGCAAGCUAUCCACAUCAACAAUCCACUAAAACUUGUAAUUAUAGCCAACUAGCACAUGUAAUUAUGAUAGUCAUCUCUUUAUCUACUAACAUGCAUUUAGCUGUUCAUAUUGAUGUGUCAAAUUAUUCAAUAAAAUUAAUUUAAGAUAAUUUCAUUCAUAUAACUAUAAAUAUAAAUAGUCUAAUUUUUUAUUAAAUUAUUUGAAAUUCCCGUAGCAACGCGCGGGGUAUUUUCCUAGUUUAAAAUGAUUACGAGACUUCAUCACUGGUACAAUUAGACUAGAUGAUAUCCCACAUGUUGUUGCGAGAACUUUAUGAACAUUUUAGGAGAAGAAUUCAUGGAGUAACUAAGAAAUAUAAGGCUUUGUGUUAGAAAAUCAUGUUAUAAUAUGGUUGUGCAAUUUUGCUAAACUGGUAGGCCAUUUUUUUGGUUAUUUUGAAAGCAUGUUGGAGGAAAAAAACUAACUUGAUUGUCAAUGCGUAAACCACAUGGUUGCACUUUGAAACUGCUAAAAAGUUGCAUCAAAAGAUGACAUAUGAAAUAAAAAAAAUAGAAACCAGGAUACAGGUGACAUAUGUGCACUGUCCGCCUUCCAGUAUGCACUUAUGAACUAUGAAGUAAAGGUAUCUAGUACAGAUCUUUUAUCUUUAGAGUUGCUGCCUUCAAUGGCUAAAGUUCUAUCGAAGCAUACUCGAUUAUAUACCCCUGAUUUUUAGAGAGCCGAUUAUGUAGCAAUCAAGUAAAACUUCAGAGACAUUCAGUCAAUAAAUAAAGUUGUCGGGCUCCACACAGCUAAAGAACCUGCAACAGAAGUACAGAACCAAGAGGAGUAGGGAACAGAACAUACGCUCCCACACCCACACAUCACUUCAAAAAAAAAAUGACGCUGCUGGUCUAGUGGAAGACAACAUGAACCGAUGAGAGCAUGAGGCACUAAAACUUGCUGUCAUGGCUGCACAAAUGAACACGCAUGCAGAUGGAGAUGACACUAUACUUGCCGGCCGCAUGCCGUUGUCAUCGUCCUCGAUUGGAUCAAGUACCCUGUAGAUGAGCCUUCAGGCACCAAAUCUCGGCACCAGCAUAACAACACACCAGCCCUCAGCUGCCAUGGCACGGCCACACGUGCAGCAUGCCCACUUUCGCCAACUCCGGCGCUAAUUGCGGGACGAAUGCCGCCACAGCCGCCCUUAGCAGCCAAGUUCCUGGAACAUAAGGUACGUGGUACGGGAACGUGGUACGUGGUACGACAUUCUCAUAAACUCUGGAACGUAGGGGGUAUACAGCUUCGUCUCGUUCCUUUAAGUUGCGGAACGCGUUCCACUUUCCAAGGGAACGUGUGUCUGGGACGUGGUGGUUGGCUCAAGUAGUUUUACGUGUUGUUUUGAACCAAAUGAGUUCGAUUCCUAGCGUGGUAUAGUUUACUGUUGUAUAUUUUGUUUCAUUUUGGGCUGUCCAACUCCAAGUCUCCAACCAUAAGGCUCAUUGUAGGUCCAAGCCAAUGAGUCAAUCACCAACUAUAUUUUUUGCCGGUCGCCGCCGCCGGCCGCUCACGGACGGGCAUGGCGCAGUAUGCACACACACCACAAAGUUCCAUAGUCACUUGGACUGACGUUUCUAUGAUUGCUUCUGCAUAUGAUUCGCGUUCCACCACAUUUGGGAACGACGUUCCAUGAUGUUCCCGUUCCACGUUUCGGGACGAAGUUCCCGGAACGGGGAACGUGCCCAUGUUCCCGUACCCUGGCUGCUAAGCAGCCGCCCUUCCCCUCCCUCGCCUGCUCUCGGGCCUCAGCUGCUUCCUUUCUACUAUUUUCUUAAGCUUUUUUGUUUUGAAUCAAUAUCAAAAUUUCACACGUGUCGUCUAUUCAUCGGCUUCACUUUAAAAAAAUUUAAAGAGUUAGUGAAUACAACAGUGGUCCACAAACUUAAGGUUUGUUUGGCACAACUCAACUUCACUAGUAAAGCUGUUUUUUUUAAAAAAAUAGCUUCAUGAGUGACUUUCUAGAUGAAGCUGAGCUGUUUUGGAAAAGUGUUUGGCAAAAUAGCUUCACCAACUACUUCAUACAUAGUUGAGAGAGAAAAAUGAGGGAGAAGCUGCAAUAAGCUACUUUUUUCCAGCUUCAUCCAACUUAUGUAUUCGUGAGAGGAGGGGAAAAACAGCUUCACCCAUGAAGCUGUUUUAGAAAUAAGCGUUUGGCAAAAAAAAACAGCUCACAACAGCUCAUGAAGCUGUUGUGAGCUGUACCAAACAUGCCCUUAUCUUUACGUGCUACUUACAUCCACCUGUGUCAUCCAUGCAGCAGUUGAAAUUUGCCAUUUACCACCAUACGCACCAGACCCUCAUCCUUACGCCAGUCUCAAUGCAUGUUUCAUGAAAGUGUCCCUCAUCCUUAGACUAGUCUCAAUGCAUGUUUCAUGAGAAUGUCAUGCACAUUAAAUAGGGUGCCACAUAAGUAAAAUUACUGAUUUGGCAGAGUCAUUAAAUGAAGGAAUUUCAUCAUAUGAGAGAGGAGUUUCAUCUCUAUGAAACUCAUAUGGCUCGGUUACCUAGUUUAUAGUCUUGGUAACUGUACCAUGAAACUAUACAUUGAAACUGACCUUAACAUCGUGACUCAUGACUAGAGAAUAUCCACCACCGAAAAGAAAGAUGUACAGAGAAAGCAAUGAAUGAGAGAUCAAGGAAACACGAUUUGGAUAACAACAAGUAUUGACAUGGCCUCAUUUAUCAACAUCAUCAUGCCACAUCAAUUGCUACGUAUUGAUAUGGACAAAAUGGACCCAUGGUGUACCAUUGGACAAGUCUAGUGACCUAGAAGUACAUUUUCAGAGUUCAUAUUCAUAAACAUAAAUGACAAAAAGUGAGAAAUUUAUGGGCUAAUGGUAUAUUUAACUCAAAAUUAUAGAACUAGGAGUGCCUAAGUGGAUAUUUUAACUAAGAAAAAACAUAUAGCCAAAAUUUUCUAGAGGGAUUGAACAUGUCCUUCAUCCAUAGCCUCGACCAGUAACUGAGAGGUCGAAGGAUGCAAAUAAUUAAUGGCCGCAGUUUGUCUAUGCUGGAUCUCAGGAUCAAUAAUCGCGUCAAACACAUGCAGUUUGGUUUUUGAGUUUCACGUUUAGUUUCUUGUGAGCGGUCCAUCAUCUAAAAAGUUUAUUGUGAGCUGAAAAACCAGUGCCUGCCGGGCAUCUGCCUUUAGUAUUUCAGUUUUGCUUUACUAAAAAUCUACAAUGCAAGAAGCUACAUAUAGUUUGGGCAGAUGUUUCUCUUCUUACAUAUAGCUCUUCGGCUCGCGAGUGUGUUUGAGAAACAAAAAGCCCCGGCCGGUAGAUGAAGUGAUGAACAAUUGGAUAAGGGUGUGGCACAUGCAUAUGCAUGAGCACAGGACAGAAAUCUCAUAACGGUUUAAUUAUACAGAAACCAUUUCUAUUCCAAUUAAGCUUCAAAUAGCUCUACAACAAAGCAUCAUUAUUAUUCUGCUAAUCGAUCGCAGAUUUAGUGUUACUCUUACAUAUAAUGAGUCAAUGACUUCCAUAAAAAAUAAUGAGUCAAUGACUGCACGAGCUAAUUAAGUACAGAAGUGGCAAGAGGGAAUUACUGUACACUAGCUAGGUACAGUACAGCUACAAGCGGUGGUGGCCUGAGUAGGAGGCAAUGCCGUCGUCGAAGUUCUGGUAGUAGCUAUGCAG
rnacentral:lncRNA from 1 species